rnacentral:lncRNA from 1 species
GGGAAGAUUCAAUCAGUGGAUCCUAGUCGAGCUCUGGAGAAGAAAAGAAAAAGAAACAGCUAGUUUUAGUAGAUGCUGCUAAAGGUCGUUUGACAGGAGAAGACAAAGAUGCAGGAGUAGCAAUGGUUCGCCGGAGAAGAGCGAUGACGGCGACGAUACAGGACUCGGUCGGGUCGGGUCAGGGUGUGAGAAGGGAGGAGGAGUUGACUCGUCGGGGAAAGAGAGAGAGAAGAAAAGGAGGGACAGAGAAGGAAGGCGCCGUAGACUUGGCUUCCAGCACACAAUUAGUGAUAAGUGCAGUAUUAUUUAUUUAUGUUAUACAACGACUAAUAAUUUCUAAGGAGUAUUAACGAGGAAUUUUGGAAGUUACUAAAUUAUGAUGGAAAAAUUGGUGAAAAGGUUCCGAGUAGUAGACAAAUUCAUUUAUUUAUCCCUGAUUUGGUAAGACAGGGAUCCCAAUGAACGUAUACUCAUUCACUUUUCUUUUAGAUUGAUCGUUUUUAACACUGAGAGCAUUGAAUAAAUGAUAAUUAUAUAAAAUUUAAAUUUAAAAUUUAUUUUUUUUACAUGUGUCGUGGAUACAACGAUGAUAUUUGUCAACACUAUGGAAAAAAAACUCAUAUAAAUUUGACUUAAAUGUCUUGAAUUAAUUUAUGGAAUAUAACAUCCUUUAUUACUUUUUUUAAUUUGUCUUUGGUAUGUUAUAUGUGUAAAAUGUAGAAUUUUCACAUUUUUUGCUUUAAAAAUGAUUAAGGGUGUUUUUUAUAAUACUGAAGUCUGAAAUCUGAAGUAUAAAUCCAUUAGGUUAUUGAAUUGUUAAAUAUUAAAUUUAAUACAUUUGAGUGGCAUAUCACAUUCAGUAAUAAGUAAAUAGUUUAUUACUUAAUUUUGAGAACAAACUUUCUUUAGAAAAUUCAGUGCCGUUUGAUUAAUUUAGAUGUUCAUUUUUUUUAUGAAACGGUCUGAAUAUAUUAAAAUUUGAAUCUAUUAAAUUUAAGUGCUGAAUUGAAUUAUCAAAUAGGGCCUAAGAGUAUGUGUCGAAGCAGUUAAAUCGUAAUAUCUGAUAAAUUCAACCACAUAGAGUUUUGGAUUAAUUACAUUUAUCUCCCUUUAAAUUUAUCCAUAUUACCAAUUAAAUCUUAAAUUUUGACCAAAUAAUGGUCUAACCCUUUGAAUGCACAAAAGUUUAUCAAAAAAAUACCCUUGACAUCUUCUACCAUUAGAAAUGUUGCUAAUGUAAGCAAAAAAAAAAAAAAAAUGGUGUGAGACUCCAAAAAAUGCCUUAUAAACCAUGUAUGUCAUUAGGGAUGGCAACGGGCGCACCCGCCCCGUAGGGGUCUAUUGGGGCGGCGGGGAAUUUUUUCCCCCCGUUUGAGGGAUACCCCCGCCCCCCGCCGCCUGCCCCUGUUUGGAAAAAAAAAAGGUAUAUAUAUGUGCAUAAUUAUAUAUAUCAUGAUAUUAUCAACUAUACUACUAAUUAUACAUGUUUAUUAAUAAAAAUUAUUAAUUAUUUAUACUAAAUUUAUUAAUACAUUUAUAUUAAAUUCCUAACUACACUUAAUACAAUAAUACUUUUUUCUAAAAAAAUAAAAAUAAUAAUUUAGUGAUUGUAUUUGUAUCAAAAAUAAAAACUUGAUUAUUUUAGUUAUAUUUGUUUUAUCAUAUUAUAUUGUAUUCAAAUAACUUUUGUUUAAUUAUUUUUAUGAGUUUCAUUUGUGAAGUUACAAUGAAUAAUAAUUUGGUGAUAUGUUAAUAUUUUAGUACUUGAUUAUUUGCUCAAAUUUAAUGAAAUUAUAUAAUUUUUUUUUAACCCCGCCCCACCGCCCCACCCCCGCCGCCCAUUGCCACCCCUAUAUAUCACAAAAAAUAAUUUUCUUUAUUCCCAAAAUAUGAAUAACAGCUUCAUACUUCAAAAAAAAAGGAAAAGGAAAGAGUAAACCAGAAAGUAAAAUCUUCUAAUGCAAGUGACCUAAAAAAAAUCUAAUGCAAUUGAUGUUUCUCCCCGAUUUAAUUACACAUUGAUUUGGCUCAUUGUAUAUGUUUUAAUCAAUAACUUAAAACCAAAAACCAAGAACUAAUAAUUUGUCUACUUAAACAUUUUCACAUGGAAUCAAACUCAAAAUCACUAAAUAUUCCUUUCAAAUCAGACUUAUUCAAGCAAAUGAAUCGACUGCCAAUUUCUUCUUCAACGGCAAUUUGAUUUCAACUUUAACAUAAGCCUUUUCCUUUUACCCGUAGAAAUUUCUUCUCUUUUCUUUCAUUAUUCCGGUUGCUGUCCCUUUGAUGAUUCUAUGACUAAAACUUCACGAAUUUAUGAACCUAAAAUUUGACGAGCUGGGUCUCGAGGUUUUGGGGCUUGCUUGUGUUCCAUGCCUGGUGAGAAUUAUUUUGCUGUAAACAUUUUGGGUUUUGGUGGAAAAAAGGAAGGAAUAGCCACUGGUUUAGGCUCCUUUGGUGGCUCUACAGCCAUUUUUAGCCAAUUUUAAGGUUGGAAUCAUAUGAUUUGCACUAAAAAAAUGACUCUCAGAUGCAAUUUUUGCUAGAAUUUAUUAUUGGACAGAGGUGGUCGAUGACGGCAGUUGACAGCGGCAGGUGUGGCAGCAGUGAGAUUACUCGGAAAUGGAGCAGGGACGGUCAUCUGUCCUUGAGCAGUUAAUGGCCAUGAUUUGGCCAAAAAAUUUUGUGCGGUCCAGAUAACAAGUUAUGCAUCGAUUUUCACACCGUGUGUGACUAAAGUUAUACGUUGUGCAAACAAAGUUACGACGUAUGUAACCAAAGUUGCGCGCUGUUGAAAAUGGCCAAAAUCGUUGGGGACGGUUGCAGGUGCAACCGUCCGUGCCCCUUGUCCGAGGUUACUCUCUUAAAAAUUUUAAAGUUUCUAAUAAAGUUGGUAAGGAAAGAGAUGAAAACAAAAUAAAAAAGGAAAGAAUAAAAAAAAUUUACAAGAAGAUUUAUUAAUAUCUUUUAUCAUCCAAACAAACUCCUAUCUUUUCACAUUAGUAGGCAUUUUGGUCUUUUCUCCACUUCUGUUUGAGAUACUUCACGGAAGUUAAUCAUAAGGGGGGUAUUUAUUAUUUGGUCAAACUUGAGGGUUUGAUUGGUAAUUUAGUCAUACCUCAGGAGAGGUAAAUGUAAAUGCCUAAAAACUAAGCCUUCAAGUCAGCCUAUGCUUGGUCCUUAUCCGUAGGAAAUGAAAGUAAAUGGAAUGAGGAUCAAUUUACUCACCAAGUAAUCCAGUCAUUUGUCUACAGGAUCAACCAUAUUAAUAAUGCACAUAGCAUUUAAUAAAACGUAUCACAUAAUUCAAUCACAAUUAGCACAUUAUUUGUGUAUUGCAUAUAUAAUGUAUGCAUUUGUAUUUUUUUAAUCUUUAACUCCAAUCCUUAAAGAUCUUUUCCUCUUUCUUCCUUUGUCUUCAGCUAUAAAAUAUGCUACAAUCACUUUAUACUCGCGAUACCUACCAUUCUUAUUCAUGAUAGGGCAAUAUGUCGGUCAAAAUAUAGUUCCAAAUAUUAUACUAUGGUUAAUAUUUUUACAUGUAAUAGAGUCAUUUGGUUUUUUUUUUUUUUUUGUCAACGCAGCGGGUAUCUGGGUCCGUGGACUGGUUACCGUACGACUCAACUAAUCCCACUGCGUGGCCGGGAGAGGCUGCCUAACAUCACCGACCAGGUAAACCCAGGGACUUGAUCCCUGGACGUGGCUCUCCCCCAACUUGGACUACGACCACGGAACCGAACCCCGAAGGGCAUGUAAUAGAGUCAUUUGUUUAUUACUAUAUAUCUCGUGGGAGAGCUGUACUAGCAUUUAAACAUUGCAAUUCUCCAAUCUUUCCCGUCCUUAACUUAUUUUAACAAAUUCAAUAACGUCCAGAGUCACACAUAUUUAAUCAAGCAUAAAGACAAAUUGUAAUCAUUCAUGGACAUAUAAUCAUUAAAUAAGUACAUAUGCUCAAUCCAAUUUGAUAUCACAAAAUACAUUUUUAGCUAUUAAAUUCAUAAAUACUUUAUAAUGUAGACACCAAAUUUUUGGUGUUUUAUUAUUUAUUUAUUUACUAUUCGUUUUUUAUUUGUUCUAUUUUAUUUGUCACAAUUAGUUAUUUACUUUUAGUUUUAGUUAUUUUAGCCAUUUUAGCGUAGAAUUUCUCAAAGGAAAAAAGAAAAGCGUUCAAAAAUAUGUUUUAGUUGUUUUAGAUUUAGUUUCAUUAUUUAAAAAUGAAAAUGAAAAAAAAGGAAAAUGGAAUUUGCAUUUUGUUGUUUCUAGUUUAUUUAUUCUUUAUCCAAUGUUAAUUGUUUUGUUAUUUCUUUUUAUUAUUAUUAAUUUUGUUUUAAUUAAUCUAAAAAAAUAAAAAAAAAAUCAAAAAAAAAAUCAAAAAAAAAUCACAAUUCUAUUUCUGCGCGAAUCCAUUUCCACUUCACAUUCUAGUAUUUUCUAUCCUUAGUGCCGGUUUAUAUCACCACGACCUCGCACCACCAAUUCCAUUUUUUUUUCCUCGGCAUCAAUACAUCCCAAAACCACAACAAGAUUUUCCAUCUGCCUCGUGAUCAUCGACAGGGAGAGAGAGAGAGUGAGCUGCAAUCAGCAAGCCAUGAGGACGAGAGGAAACCAGAGAAAGGGUGGAGUGAGUUGCGGCCUUGAGCUGUCCGAGAGAGGGUGAGAGCAAGAGGAGAAACCGCGGCUGCAAAAUUUCCUGGUUCUGUCCGAAAGCUAGAGUGAAGCAGGGAGAAACCGUGAGCAAGUUUCACCAUUCUGCACUUCCAUUUCUACCAGCUGCAAUCAAGUUUCCCAGCCGCAACCACCACCAGUUCCAUCAUCUGCCACAGCCCAAGUAAACCUGUAUUUCAGCCGUGCGUGAGAGCCGAGAGGAAGAAAAAUUUUCAGACUUUCUGUGCAAGAGCUUAGCUUGCUGUGAGGUAAUUUCUGGACUUUUUAGGUUGAUUACUAGUGGAGGAAACUAUAUGCGAGUUGCAUGUGAGGCUUGUACAGUCGGUGGAUAGAAAUCAAGCCAUUAGGAAAUUUCUGUUUUGGCUAAGUGUUGCUGCCGAGAAACUGAUGAGAGAACGCAGCUGUAUUUCUGUUUUUCUAGGACAAUCUGAGCACCUAAGUGUACUUAGCCGAAUGAAAUUGUGAUGAUUAAGACCAUGCAUGUUAAAUUGUGCAUUCGGAUGAUGUUAUGAAGCAUGCAGAAAUUCUGUUUUGGCUAAAUGUCUCUGCCGAUGAACUAAUUUGGGACAUGUAAUUUUAAUUCUGACUCCAUGUGAUAAUCUGAGCUUAAUUGAGGAUCCAAUUUGAUAGAUAACCUUUUUAUUUGGUGUUGCAUGUGAACCUUAUGGCCAGGAAUCUGAUUGCAUGGCUGGAAUUUUUUUAUUAGAAGUUGUUGGACUGCUAAACACUUUUCCAGUUUAGCCGAUGGAGUUGUUUUGGGAGUUGUAUGGGUAUUUUAGAAUGAGAUUUGCUGGAAAGUGUUUGAUUCUCACUGGGUUGUGUGUUUAGCUAACUAAAUGCUGGAUGAUUAAGCCCUGCAUGAGAUUAAUUAGCUGUGUGUAAACCAGAAAUUUGAAUGAAACAAAAAAAAAAAAAUCUGCUGCAUGCAUGUCAUCCGUAAAUAGUUGAACAAAUUCUGGAAUUUUGGAUACAUUUUGUUGGUGACCGACCCUGUUUUGAACUGGAAUUGAUAAUGACUUCAUUUAUUAGUCUUGCAUGUUAGUUUUGGGUACAUAAUUUAGUGUUUCAGCCGAGGAAAUUCGGUUUAAAGAUGGACUAAAGCUGCUGGAAUUUUUCCAGUGUAGCCGAGUGAAGAAGAAAAGAAUUUUUCAGUUUGUUUUUUGCGAAUUCUGGGUUCUUAUUCAUGUUUGGGGGGCAAAUUCCUUGUAUUUGGUCUGUAAAUGACAAAUUGGGAGAACUGAUUUGAGUGUUUGCAUGCAAAGAUGGCUGAGCUAAGAUAAAAGGAGUAAAAAGCUGCUGCAUCUUUUUGUCUUUUUGUUUUCUUUUCCAUGGCUGUUUAAGGGACCCUUACGUUUAAAUUGCUUGUUAAAUCUGGUUUUAAGGAGAAGGAAUGGAAUGAUUUGAUGUUAAGUUUACGUUUGAGUCCUUAAAACACUUGAGCUAUGAUUAAACACCAUGCUGAAAAAUAUUUGAUCACGGUUGUGAUUAAGAAGCUUGAGCUUGAGAAGAAAGUGCAGCAGUCUUCGGUUGCUAGAGUAUGUGAAGUAAUUGCAGAAACUUGUUUCAUGGCUAUUGCAUAGAACUUGCAUGUUUUUUUCCUUCUAAGUUUUCUACCUGUUGAGGCGAUGGUAAUGACAUAGUUUGCAGCUUAGUUAAAGCUAUGUAUGUGAACUUGAAAUCUGAUUUUUUGGAAAAUAAGAUGUGAGUUUGAGUUGGGUUUCGUUUGAGCAAGCAUGAGAGAAAAUAUUGCAGAAACUCACUUUGAAUUUGAUUUACUUGCUUGUUUGGUUGUUAGAUUCAUGCUUUAAUGUUUUGGUUAGAAGAUUUUUCGAUCAAAAUGGUGUUAAGGUUGAGAAAAUGAAAGUCACGGUUGUCUUCUGGGUUGCCGAAAGCUUUCAGCAGAAAUUUCUGCUGCAGAAUGUUGUUUCUCAUGUUGAUUUUCACGUAGCUUGCAUGAAAACUGCAUGAAUUAAUUUCUGAAAAUUGCACUUUGAUCCCCAAGUCUCCCCUUGUUCCACUAUGGCCCAAUUACAUUCCAUGUUCUUGCAAUUAGGUCCUAAGAUAUUUGCAUUUGAAUCAUUAUUUGCCUUUUCUUUUGCCCUUGAACCCUGGAAGUUCCUAAAAGUGUUUGUUUAAGCUUGAAUGCUUGGCUAGUGUUCAUAAUUGAAUCUUUGAUAACAUUAAUGUUUCAAUUCAAUUACUUGCUUGACUUCAUUGGUUACCAUGUUUUGCUAAGGUGAUACUUAAGGCAAGAGUUUAAGAACUUUGUGUUCAAAUGAGCUUGUGUUCGCCUUUCUUUUUGAAUUUUCUGAAAUAAUUUGGCUUUGGCCUUUUCUUGCUCUUGGAAUUUCAAAGUUUCUAAGAUGUUCCCAUUGGCUUUGAAUGGUUGAUUAAUUUCUUGCAAUUGAGUCCUAAAGUAUUUGCAAUCUGAACCAUGACUUGACUUUUUCAUCACUCUUGAACCUUUAAAGUUCUUAAAUGUUCUAAUUGGGCUCACAUGAUUGAUUAAUGUUUGCAAUUGGAUCCCUUUUACAUGAUAAUUCGCUUCGGUAUGUUUUUACGUGAAUUGUGGACAAAUUUCAAUGGAUAAUUCCCAAUGUCAUGAAAGCUUAAUAAUCUUGGAAGAAUUCAUAGUCUUGGUUUCAUUUGAUUCAGUUUUUCUUAGAUAAUUUGUUAUUUAAUCACAAUAAAUAAUUUCUGUGAUAGUUUUUCUCUUUUUGUGAUUUUUGCAUUGAUUGUGAUGGAUUCAUCGUAAGCAUUUCAAUUUAGCACUCCACUUUAGAUUCUUGAGACCUUUUAUUUAAGACGAGUUUUGCUUGCAUGUGCAUGAUCUAUUCCAUAUUUAAUUUUCGUUUCAUGCUUAAUUUCCACUUUUGUGUUUAAUGGUUGUUUCAUGUGAUUAUUGAUAAUUAAAGUGGUACUUGACCUUUUUAUUAUUUUGGAGGGUAAUUUAAUAAUUUCACUUCAUUAGAGCAUCGAUUCAAGGGAGGUACAUUUAUCCUUAUUUGCACUUCAUUUGACCCUACGUGCUCCUACGUGUUAUGUGAAUAUGCAUGUCUAUUUCGCUUUCCUUGCCUUUCCUUAAUUCCUUGCAUUUAUUUCUUUUUUUUUACUUUUAUUUAAGUUGUUCUUUAUGGGGUAUGUGUACACCUCUUAGCUUGUAAUAGAUAGGGCUUGGAGAAGCAUUUGAUGAAGACCUAUUGAAGACGUGUGCCUAGCUAGCAAAUGUAAUAGAUUUAUUAGUUUGGUUGCUUUUUGUUGCUACAUGUUAAUUUGCUUUAUUAGGCCUUGCAUCUAGUCGAGCAUGCUAAAUGUUAUGUGCUAUGUGUUUGUGUUUGGCAUGUCUACUCGCUUUCAUAGCCUGAAUGAAUGUGAUGGAUGAAUGUACGUUUCCACUAGUCCAACGCUAGUCGGAAUUCAUAGAAUGGGCUAGUCCAACGCUAGACCCUUAGGGAUUUCCCCUCGUUAGUACAUGUUUGCAUGUUCAUUACAUGUCAUGCAUUCUUUUUAGUUUUUCAUUUUUGCAUGCCCCCGAACCCCUUUCCCUUCUUUUAGGUUUGCAUUUCAUGCUAGUUAUAGGGUCCAUUUGCCUGAGAAACCCCUUGGGUAAGGGAAACGAGCGAGUGUGGCUUCAAAAUAGCCUUAGCACGCUAGUUUUUCCUUCUAAUCAAAGGGAAAAUUAAAAUCACAAAAACUAGAGGUCAUUCCCGUACCCGACCUGAUGCAUUCCUCUAAGUUCAUGCAUUUUCAUAUCAUUUUCUCACUAUUUUCCUCACUAAUUAUAUAUUUUAAAUCCACAUGUCAUAUUCACACACUUAUUCACUUUCUUUACUUUUCACUUCACACAUUGCACCUAUUUUACUUAUAUAUUUACUAUUUUCAUUCACUUGCACACGAGCAUUUAUAUUUUUAUUCAUUUGCACACAAACACUUUCAAAUUGCACACAUGCACUUUUUUCUACACUUUGCACACUUACACUCUCAUUUGAGUCCUCAUUUGCAUCAUUCAUGAUUUUCUAUGAGGACUUUCCUUAUUGGCCGUCACGACUCGUGUGAAUGGGACCAAAAGCCUCAUAAGAAACAUUUCUUAGAUUUAGGAUUGCAUUUCUCAUUCAUUAGUCAAAUCCAAUUUGCAAUACAUACUUUGGGUAGAAAAUAUAGGAAAAUAAGGGUUAAAUCACGCAACUAGCCUUGGUUAGGUCGAAGGGGUGCCUUGGAUUUUUAUCCUUGCCUUCCCCUUCGUCAAAUGUGACUCCCGAACCUUUUUCUUUGUUUUACGUGGACUAGGAGUCGUUUAAAAAGGGUUUUCUUACUUUUUUCUUUAAAAAUUCUUUUUGGGUGACUUGGUACACCCUAACUCUAUACCAAGUGGCGACUCCAUUUUUCAUAUAAAAACCCUUUUUGAACUAUUUUUCUUGGGUCAAAUCGUCGCAUUUUCAAAAGUCCCAUUUAGACCCAUUUUUGUUUUUAUCAACAAAAUUCAUUUUUCCCAAAUCAAUAAAAUUCAACAAAAACAAUUAUUUUAUUUUUUCCAAAAAAGUGGGGCGCGACAGUUGGCGACUCCACUGGGGACUUCCUAAGUGGGUCCAAGCAUUUGAUUUAGCCAUUCUUUUCCUUUUUUCUACCCUUUUUAUGUAUAGCAUUUGGAUAUUAGGAUUGCAUUUUCCCUUUCUAGGACUUUUUGCCACGUACGCGCAUAUCAAACUACUCCCUCACUCACGUAUGUAUGAUUGGAUGAUUGGAUGUAUGAUUGUACUUGCUUUAUCUCGCGCUUUGCAUUUGCAUUUUGGGGGGGGUGUGUCACCCUUAGAGCCACGCGUUGGUUCUCGAUCCCUCCCCUCCAAAACGUAUACUAUCAUACGCGCAUACGCUUUAUUAUUCAUCCCUCUUUAUUUUCUUUUUAGUGGCUUGUCACGCCACUCCACCCUAUUAGGAUUAGGAGACCCACUUGGACGUGUGAUCGUGACACGACGUGUGCGUAGCACGAUCCAAUGGGUCACUCAAUCUUCCGCUUUAAACUUUGGGUUGAUAGCCUUUAGUUUUUAGUCGAAGGUUGAGGGUUUUUUAUAGAUUCACUCAAACAUGCAGCCGUAACACGACGUGUGCGUAGCGGUGUUUGGGGAAUCGCUCGAGCCACCGACAAAGGGCCUUGGGAUUGAUGACCCUUGGCCACGAGUCUGAAGGCUUGGGGACCUGAGCUUAUCGAGUCUAGAUGCAUUAGUGAACCCCAACCGCAUGCAUCCAUAUAGUUCACCUAGGGUAGAGUCUGCCUUGCCCUAGUAGGGACACCAUUCACGAGGGGAGGGAUCCCACCCUUUUCCUUAUUUACUUUUCCUACUUUUUAUAUCAUUUAAUUGUCCAACGUGUUAUGUGAUUAUGUGUUGAACUAACUUUCCUUGUCUCUUGCCUUUGCAUUCACAAACGUUAGGAAAUAAGAGGUCGGGCAUGACCUUCUUUUAGGACUACCCUUAUAGAUAGGCUAUUGCAUGUUUAAAAAUUGUGUAUAUUUCGUUCAUAAAUUAAUAAUGCCAUUUUUAGGCCUACCCUGGCAAUAAAGGGUUCCUUAGGUCAUGUCUCAUUUCAAAUUGCAUAUCUUACUGCUUUUAAUAAACUGGCAUCACGCAUCCACCCUAGGAAGGGAAUGCCAUUUAGGGGAUCCCGUGUUUAGGAAUAAGCCACCAUAUGUCUCGGAUACUUAAUCCAAGGAGACUUGCACGUUUACAUUUUUUGUAUCAUCCAAAAGGGUAGUGCACAAGGUAAGGUAGGAUCCGAUCAUUUUCAUAGAGCGAUCUUUGGAAUAUGAGCGUCUAAUAAUCACCUUUUGGCCACUUUAUCAAAAUUGGUAAAAAUCCCUUGCGUAAAGGACAUUAAUUUGAAGAAACCCAAAUAAUUCUUCACUAUUGAGACGAUAAAUCAAUGGAGGCCAAAUCUUGAUUUUAGGAGGCUCAUAGACUAAGGCAUUGUAAUGAUUUCUUGAAACUACCCAAUGGGUAGAGAACUCAAUCGAUUUUUGAACAAAUCAUCCAUUUUAUCCAAUCCAUUUUUGUCAAUUCAUUCAAUUUUAGUUCAAUCUAAUCAUUUUUGAAUAAAUUCAUUUCAUCCAAUUCAUUUGACCAAUUUACCCUUUUUAGGGUCAUCCGGUCAAUUUUUGAAUAAAUCAAUUCAUUUGACCAAUUUACCCUUUUCAGGGUCAUCCGGUCGAUUUUUGAAUAAAUCAUCAAUUCAUUUGACCAAUUUACCCUUUUAGGGAUUUGGCCGAUUUUUAAAAUAAAUCAUUAACUCCAUUUCAUCUCUUUGGCCAAUUUACCCAUUUUUAGGGCGAAAUCAAGUUGAUUUUGAAGAGAUCAUCAAUUUCAUUCAAUUCAGUUGACCAAGUCUAUCUAUUCGAUCAAUUUUGAAUAAAUCGUCAAUGUUAUCCAGCUUACCUAUUUUUAGGUAAAUCGGUCGAUUUUGAAUAAAUCACCAAUUUUAUCCAUUUGACUCGCUUUUUCCCCUUUAGGGUUCAUUGAAUAAAUUAAUCGAGACAUGGCAAUCCCUUUCACAAAUCAUUUUAUGUGUAGAUCAAAGCAAGCAAUCCGUUCCGACUUCGUCCUCAUGUUUUAGGGCAAAUGUCUCUUCUCACUCCAAGUGGCCAAAUUUUUCAAAUCAUUCCUCACACGAUCAGUCGAUCGGAUCCAUCAGGUAUUGUAUAGUGCCUGCUCUGGAGGACUGCAUUUUCAUGCUAGGCCUACCCUUGGCACAAAAGGGUUCCCCCAUAGGACAUGCAUCCGAAUUUUCUGAAUAUCUACUAACUCUUUUUUUUCUUUUCUUUUUCUUUGUUUUUAUUGGAAUAACUAAGCGAGGGUUAAAUCUAAAGGCAAUCUUUCAAAAAUUCUCAGGUAAUAUUUAAAUAUAGCUUCUCGUCGAAGCCCCAUCAUAACGCGAUCCCGUAGUCAAGCCCAGAGGAGUCGUGUAAACAUGAGUUCACAACCGGAACAGUCAGAUAGGUCUGCUACUACCGCUCAACCCGAGACUGCAAGUUUGGGGAUUCAGUUGACUGAGAUGCUUACCAAGUUUGGAGAGAUGGCGUCUGAGAUGGCCGCCCAAAGGAAGUUGAAUGAUGAGCUAAUUAGCAGCGGAGUUCAACCCGAACCUGUACCCGCCAGACAGCCUGAGCAAGAGCCGUUUGUCCUACCUUCGGCCCAUGCCACUGUUACUCCAUCAUUUCCUAUUGCACCCGAAGAAACUUUCACCUAUCCCACCACAAAUUUGCCAUACACUUACCCUCCUCAUCCUUCAUUUUUUCUUACUCACACGCGAGGUCCACCACCCCAAAUCACUUCAAAUAUACCACCUGAGCCACAUACCUUUUAUCACCCUGUUGCUGAGCCAUUCCUACCAGACCAUAUUGUUCAAACCAAGGCAGAAAUGGGGGAAUCUUCUGCUCCCGUUGAUAUAAAGCUGCUCAAACGCCUUGAUCGUUUUGAUGAGUUUAUGAGGAAGAGUCAGGGGUUGAACAAGCAAGGAGUCCUGGACUACGAUGAGCUUUGUCUCUUUCCCAAUAUGCAAUUGCCGAGGGUUCAAAACCCCUAAAUUUAACAAGUACGAUGGGACGGGUAAUCCCAAGACACACCUCCGACUAUUUGCUAACAAGUUGGGAAAGCCUGUAGACGACGAGAACCUGCCUCUAAGGUUGUUCCCGGAAAGUCUGGAGGGGGAUGCCCUCGACUGGUACUCAAAUUUGAAGUCCGAAGAAGUAAAAACCUGGAUUGACUUGUCCAAUGCUUUUGUAAGGCAAUAUGAGUAUAACUGCGAGCUGGCUCCGACACGAACCACGUUGGAAGGAACAAAAAGAAAACCCUCCGAGGAUCACAAGACUUAUGCCAAGAGGUGGAGGAAAAUAGCUGCCAAAGUCGAGCCACCGAUGACUGAGGACGAAAUCAUACGCACUUUCAUUAAGCACAUGAUCCCCGUAUUUUGAAGAAAUUUUCCGCAUGACUGGAUGCUCGUUCGCCGCCAUUGUCAAUAAACUUGAGGAGUGAUGACUUCGUGAAAGCUGGGAAGAUUGUUAAUGUCUCUGCCCUCAAAUCAGUUGGAUGCUUUGCAAGGACAGGGGACUAGUGGAAGAACCCGCAAUUAAAAAGAAAGAGGGGGAAACUGCCUUCAUGGAAUCAAAACCCUGUCCCAAGACCCAGACCUCGACAAUACCCUACCUACUCAAACCCUUACCCCUACUACUCAAAUCCUCAUCCUGUUUACCACACCAAUAUCACUCAUCCUCGACCUCGCCCAAAUUAUGCCAACCCGCCUACAACCCCUUUCCAAAUAUCUCAACCAAGCUUUCAACAAGCUCGUCCUCGGCCUCCUUACCACCAAAGAUUUCCCCCACCAAAUAGACCCACCUACAACUAUCCCCGACCCACUGAAACCUACAAUCAAAGCCGUACCCGAACCUUCACCAACCUAGGCAGGCCUUUGGACCAAUUGUAUGAGCAAUUGAAGGUUGCCAACAAAAUAGGCGUGAUUCCCCCUCCAACUUACCUUCAUGGCAUGCCUGCUGGGUACAAUCCACAUGCUAUUUGUGCCUAUCAUUCGGGAGUACCUGGCCACUCAACCGCCGAUUGCAGGGCACUUAAGCACAAAGUCCAAGACAUGAUCGAGGCAGGAGAAAUAGUGCUAAGGAAAAGAGGUGAACAAGGGCCGAUCAUAAGUACAAAUCCUUUUCCUGAACACCAGGACACCUUCGAGGCAUCCACCUCCAACGACGAAAUUUGAAAAUCCUGAAGGAGCUUUGCACAAUUUGGAUGGCCGAGUAUCUUCCCUCUCGAAGGGAAUUUCGGUAAAUCUAGGGGUUGUUAUUUACUAAAGUUCACAAAAACCAUUUCUUGCAUAUGUGAAUAGCUUCAUGAAAACAUCUUUCGCAAUUAAGUUUUUGUCUUGUUUUCGCUUUGAUUAGUUUUUCCAUUAAAUGCACAAUUUGUUUAUUUGAUUAUUGUCCUGAAUUUUAAUUCUUUUAAAUGGCCAAAGAUGAAAUUAUUUGACCCUUUGAAUAUCACUGUUCUGGAUUCCGAUAAUACCAUUCAUCAAAAUCCCUUCAUUAAGAAAUCCUUCAUUGAAAAAUCCCUUCUUUGAGAAGGUCAGAAAUCCCUUCGUUGAAAAAUCCCUUCUUUGAGAAGGCCAGAAAUCCCUUCGUUGAAAAAUCCCUUCUUUGAGAAGGCCAAAAAUCCCUUCAUUAAAAAUCCUUCAUUGAAAAAUCCCUUCAUUAAGAAAGCUCUUCAUUGAAAAUCUUUCGUUAAGAAAGCCUUUCAUCAAGAAAUCCCUCCUCUGCCAAGUUCUAAGCUGAUUGGUUAAAGCAGCGUCACCGACGAUUGAUUUUGAUGGAUGAAAAGCAGUUGAAUGUCGUAUGGCCUGUGUUCAUAACAAAAAGGUCCGCCACCGGUCCUUUAGAGAAGAAGGACAAUGAGUUAAAGCGAGAUUUGCCAAUGCAAGAUGAAAUCAAAGACGAAUUUGGCCUAAACUGGUAAGGCCAUUUGUCAUUCAAAAAGGUGCUACCGAGUGGAGCACUUAUCCUUGAAGAGAUGGACGACAAACAGUCUCUCAACCUAUCAACUCAGACAUGUGUAAGAAGUUUUAUUUCUGAUUAUGCAAAUUUCUUUUGGAAAUCAUGCAAGGAGCGAAACAAAAGUCAGGCCAUCUUCUUUUCCAAUCAAAACAUUUCAUCCCUAGUCAUCCCUUUUGAGCUAUCAGAACAAUAGUUUUUUCGUUUGGCAGCCCCUGAGGAUUGCAAGCCCCACACUGGGGCAAAUUCAUUGUGAACAGAGACGAUCCGAAAGAAAAGGUAAAACCCCACACUGGGGCAAAUUUAUCUUUGAAAGAAAGAUGGAAGACAAUAAACCCCACACCGGGGCAAAUUUAGCUUUGAAGAAAAAUGCAAAAAGUGAGGAAAAUGCAAUGAAAAUGCAAGGAGAGGAUUCAAUCGAACUGGGGCAAAUUUCCCUCAGUUUCGUUCGAAAUUGAAGAUGAUUUCAAAUGAUGCAAUCUCAGGUUAUUUCACCUCUCAUAAGAGCAAAUUGUUUUCAAGCCUUAACUUUUCUUGACAUACCCACCUGACCCCAUUACAAAAGCCCAAAGUCCUGGCUUUCGUCACUUGCAGUAUUUCUAUUGGAAAGUUUGCUAAUCAACUGACAAGUGAUGUCCAUAAUGCCUUCGCCUAAACUUCUAAGGGAAGUGCAUUUUACUGAUGCCAGAAAUCUUCAACUCAUACUCCUGAGUCGAUCAUGGUUGAGCUCUUUCAUUUGCGUCUUUAGGUGAAAACUCGAAAGGGCACCUCAAAAAAAAAAAAAAAAAAAAGAGAAAAGACAAAACGAAACAAAAAAGGGGGGCAACCUUGGUAAAAACCCGAAAGGGCACCAAGGUAGGAUUUUGCAGCGAGCGAGCACGAGGAAGAACAGCUGGUGAUUUGGUUCAUUUGGAUUUCUCCUCAUUUUGUCAUACUUCUGUCAAUUUUGAAUUCCAGAACAAAGAUAUCCAGAGAAUUGAAUAUGACAUUUGUUGGCCAAAACUGUGUCAUUUUGUAAAACAUUCUUUUGCAAAUACAUUCUUAGGAAGCUCAUUUUUCCAAAUUACUUGCAUUCAUGGCAUUUUUGUAGAAUUUAAGCACAAAUGGUUAUGUGUGCAUUCUUGUGCAUAUUUAUUCUUUCAUGACAUGUGAAUUUUCUUGCAUACUUCAUUCUUUAUCUUUGAAUUUUGUGAAUAACAAUCCCCGUGGUUUAUUCGAAGCAUACUUGGGUUCAGUCAUCUUUUGAAAAGGGUUAAGGUUCAACAAAGUCAGUUACGCAGACUUCACAAUAUGGCAAAGCACAUACCUGAUCAGUUUGUAAAUCGAAAAGCCUUAGGGUGAAAAAUCCAACUCAAUCGACUGCCGCAGCAAAAGUUGAUAAAGGCGUUGAAAGACUCAUGUUUACACGAUUCUCAAAGGAAAACGGAUCAAAUGAUGGUGGCAAUUUCUUUGUUUUUUUCUCUUUUGCAGAAAAAUUGCAUACACAGAUGAAAGUAAGCACACCUCGCACUGGAAUAGGUGUCGGAAAGAGUCCUCCGGUGAACAAAGGCAGAUUGAAAAUGUCGCAAGCAAAUUUCAUCAAAAAAUGCAACAGCAUGGCGAUACAGAAUCAACUCUGGACUCACAUUGCAAAAAUUCAUCAUACUGAGGCAAAUUAAUUUUUUGGAAAGAUUUUCAAAAGUCAAAAAAAAAAAAAAAAGGAAAAAUCAUCAAUCAAAAAUCAAACACAGAUUUUAUCACGGCAGGCUCGGGUUUAAUCCACUGACCGAUUGUCAAAAGCAUUUUCGGGUCAGUCCCAUGAUCAAAAGCAUUUUCGGGUCAGUCCCAUGAUCAAAGCAUUUUCGGGUCAGUCCCAUGAUCAAGAUUUUCGGGUCAGUCCCAUGACCAAAAGCAUUUUCGGGUCAGUCCCGCGAUCAAAAGCAUUUUCGGGUCAGUCCAUGAUCAAAAGCAUUUUCGGGUCAGUCCCAUGAUCAAAAGCUUAUUCGGGUCAGUCCCAUGAUCAAAAGCUUUUCGGGUCAGUCCCACGAUCAAAAGCAUUUUCGGGUCAGUCCCAUGAUCAAAAGCAUUUUCGGGUCAGUCCCACGAUUCAAAGCUUAUUCGGGACAGUCCCGCAAUUCAAAACUUAUUCGGGUCAGUCCCGCGAUUCAAAGCCUGUUCGGGUCAGUCCCGCGAUUAAAAUCUUAUUCGGGUCAGUCCCGCGAUUCAAAGCUUAUUCGGGUCAGUCCCGCGAUUAAAGCUUGUUCGGACCAGUCCCAUGAUUUGAAUUUCCUUCUCUAGUCAGUCCCGUCUUUAAAUUUCGUUCGGGUCAAUCCCGCUUUAAAUUUCCUGUCUAAGUCAAUUCCAUUUUAAGUUUGUCAAAAGGGGUAAAUCCUCAUUUCUAGAGUGUCAGUCGUUUAAGUUUAAUGCAGCCAAAUAACACAGGUAAUUAUUUGGUGUCUACUUCUUUGUCUCAAGUUUUUUCAAAACUCAGACAAAGAGGGGCAAACUGUAGACACCAAAUUUUUGGUGUUUUAUUAUUUAUUUAUUUACUAUUCGUUUUUUAUUUGUUCUAUUUUUAUUUGUCACAAUUAGUUUUAUUUACUUUUAGUUUUAGUUAUUUUAGCCAUUUUAGCGUAGAAUUUCUCAAAGGAAAAAAGAAAAGCGUUCAAAAAAUAUGUUUUAGUUGUUUUAGAUUUAGUUUCAUUAUUUAAAAAUGAAAAUGAAAAAAAAGGAAAAUGGAAUUUGCAUUUUGUUGUUUCUAGUUUAUUUAUUCUUUAUCCAAUGUUAAUUGUUUUGUUAUUUCUUUUUAUUAUUAUUAAUUUUGUUUUAAUUAAUCUAAAAUAAAAAAAAUAAAAAAAUAAAAAAAAAAAUAAAAAAAAAAUCACAAUUCUAUUUCUGCCGAAUCCAUUUCCACUUCACAUUCUAGUAUUUUCUAUCCUUAGUGCCGGUUUAUAUCACCACGACCUCGCACCACCAAUUCCAUUUUUUUUCCUCGGCAUCAAUACAUCCCAAAACCACAACAAGAUUUUCCAUCUGCCUCGUGAUCAUCGACAGGGAGAGAGAGAGAGUGAGCUGCAAUCAGCAAGCCAUGAGGACGAGAGGAAACCAGAGAAAGGGUGGAGUGAGUUGCGGCCUUGAGCUGUCCGAGAGAGGGUGAGAGCAAGAGGAGAAACCGCGGCUGCAAAAUUUCCUGGUUCUGUCCGAAAGCUAGAGUGAAGCCAGGGAGAAACCGUGAGCAAGUUUCACCAUUCUGCACUUCCAUUUCUACCAGCUGCAAUCAAGUUUCCCAGCCGCAACCACCACCAGUUCCAUCAUCUGCCACAGCCCAAGUAAACCUGUAUUUCAGCCGUGCGUGAGAGCCGAGAGGAAGAAAAAUUUUCAGACUUUCUGUGCAAGAGCUUAGCUUGCUGUGAGGUAAUUUCUGGACUUUUUAGGUUGAUUACUAGUGGAGGAAACUAUAUGCGAGUUGCAUGUGAGGCUUGUACAGUCGGUGGAUAGAAAUCAAGCCAUUAGGAAAUUUCUGUUUUGGCUAAGUGUUGCUGCCGAGAAACUGAUGAGAGAACGCAGCUGUAUUUCUGUUUUUCUAGGACAAUCUGAGCACCUAAGUGUACUUAGCCGAAUGAAAUUGUGAUGAUUAAGACCAUGCAUGUUAAAUUGUGCAUUCGGAUGAUGUUAUGAAGCAUGCAGAAAUUCUGUUUUGGCUAAAUGUCUCUGCCGAUGAACUAAUUUGGGACAUGUAAUUUUAAUUCUGACUCCAUGUGAUAAUCUGAGCUUAAUUGAGGAUCCAAUUUGAUAGAUAACCUUUUUAUUUGGUGUUGCAUGUGAACCUUAUGGCCAGGAAUCUGAUUGCAUGGCUGGAAUUUUUUUUAUUAGAAGUUGUUGGACUGCUAAACACUUUUCCAGCUUAGCCGAUGGAGUUGUUUUGGGAGUUGUAUGGGUAUUUUAGAAUGAGAUUUGCUGGAAAGUGUUUGAUUCUCACUGGGUUGUGUGUUUAGCUAACUAAAUGCUGGAUGAUUAAGCCCUGCAUGAGAUUAAUUAGCUGUGUGUAAACCAGAAAUUUGAAUGAAACAAAAAAAAAAAAAAUCUGCUGCAUGCAUGUCAUCCGUAAAUAGUUGAACAAAUUCUGGAAUUUUGGAUACAUUUUGUUGGUGAGACCCUGUUUUGAACUGGAAUUGAUAAUGACUUCAUUUAUUAGUCUUGCAUGUUAGUUUUGGGUACAUAAUUUAGUGUUUCAGCCGAGGAAAUUCGGUUUAAAGAUGGACUAAAGCUGCUGGAAUUUUUCCAGUGUAGCCGAGUGAAGAAGAAAAGAAUUUUCCAGUUUGUUUUUGCGAAUUCUGGGUUCUUAUUCAUGUUUGGGGGGCAAAUUCCUUGUAUUUGGUCUGUAAAUGACAAAUUGGGAGAACUGAUUUGAGUGUUUGCAUGCAAAGAUGGCUGAGCUAAGAUAAAAGGAGUAAAAAGCUGCUGCAUCUUUUUGUCUUUUUGUUUUCUUUUCCAUGGCUGUUUAAGGGACCCUUACGUUUAAAUUGCUUGUUAAAUCUGGUUUUAAGGAGAAGGAAUGGAAUGAUUUGAUGUUAAGUUUACGUUUGAGUCCUUAAAACACUUGAGCUAUGAUUAAACACCAUGCUGAAAAAUAUUUGAUCACGGUUGUGAUUAAGAAGCUUGAGCUUGAGAAGAAAGUGCAGCAGUCUUCGGUUGCUAGAGUAUGUGAAGUAAUUGCAGAAACUUGUUUCAUGGCUAUUGCAUAGAACUUGCAUGUUUUUUUCCUUCUAAGUUUUCUACCUGUUGAGGCGAUGGUAAUGACAUAGUUUGCAGCUUAGUUAAAGCUAUGUAUGUGAACUUGAAAUCUGAUUUUUUGGAAAAUAAGAUGUGAGUUUGAGUUGGGUUUCGUUUGAGCAAGCAUGAGAGAAAAUAUUGCAGAAACUCACUUUGAAUUUGAUUUACUUGCUUGUUUGGUUGUUAGAUUCAUGCUUUAAUGUUUUGGUUAGAAGAUUUUUCGAUCAAAAUGGUGUUAAGGUGAGAAAAUGAAAGUCACGGUUGUCUUCUGGGUUGCCGAAAGCUUUCAGCAGAAAUUUCUGCUGCAGAAUGUUGUUUCUCAUGUUGAUUUUCACGUAGCUUGCAUGAAAACUGCAUGAAUUAAUUUCUGAAAAUUGCACUUUGAUCCCAAGUCUCCCCUUGUUCCACUAUGGCCCAAUUACAUUCCAUGUUCUUGCAAUUAGGUCCUAAGAUAUUUGCAUUUGAAUCAUUAUUUGCCUUUUCUUUUGCCCUUGAACCCUGGAAGUUCCUAAAAGUGUUUGUUUAAGCUUGAAUGCUUGGCUAGUGUUCAUAAUUGAAUCUUUGAUAACAUUAAUGUUUCAAUUCAAUUACUUGCUUGACUUCAUUGGUUACCAUGUUUUGCUAAGGUGAUACUUAAGGCAAGAGUUUAAGAACUUUGUGUUCAAAUGAGCUUGUGUUCGCCUUUCUUUUGAAUUUUCUGAAAUAAUUUGGCUUUGGCCUUUUCUUGCUCUUGGAAUUUCAAAGUUUCUAAGAUGUUCCCAUUGGCUUUGAAUGGUUGAUUAAUUUCUUGCAAUUGAGUCCUAAAGUAUUUGCAAUCUGAACCAUGACUUGACUUUUUCAUCACUCUUGAACCUUUAAAGUUCUUAAAUGUUCUAAUUGGCUCACAUGAUUGAUUAAUGUUUGCAAUUGGAUCCCUUUUACAUGAUAAUUCGCUUCGGUAUGUUUUUACGUGAAUUGUGGACAAAUUUCAAUGGAUAAUUCCCAAUGUCAUGAAAGCUUAAUAAUCUUGGAAGAAUUCAUAGUCUUGGUUUCAUUUGAUUCAGUUUUCUUAGAUAAUUUUGUUAUUUAAUCACAAUAAAUAAUUUCUGUGAUAGUUUUUCUCUUUUGUGAUUUUUGCAUUUGAUUGUGAUGGAUUCCAUCGUAAGCAUUUCAAUUUAGCACUCCACUUUAGAUUCUUGAGACCUUUUAUUUAAGACCGAGUUUUGCUUGCAUGUGCAUGAUCUAUUCCAUAUUUAAUUUUCGUUUCAUGCUUAAUUUCCACUUUUGUGUUUAAUGGUUGUUUCAUGUGAUUAUUUGAUAAUUAAAGUGGUACCUUGACCUUUUUAUUAUUUUGGAGGGUAAUUUAAUAAUUUCACUUCAUUAGAGCAUCGAUUCAAGGGAGGUACAUUCUAUCCCUUAUUUGCACUUCAUUUGACCCUACGUGCUCCUACGUGUUAUGUGGAAUAUGCAUGUCUAUUUUGCUUUUCCUUGCCUUUCUUAAUUCCUUGCAUUUAUUUCAUUUAUUUUUACUUUUAUUUAAGUUGUUCUUUAUGGGGUAUGUGUACACCUCUUAGCUUGUAAUAGAUAGGCUUGGAGAAGCAUUUUGAUGAAGACCUUAUUGAAGACGUGUGCCUAGCUAGCAAAUGUAAUAGAUUUAUUAGUUUGGUUGCUUACCUUUGUUGCUACAUGUUAAUUUGCUUUAUAGGCCCUUGCAUCUAGUCGAGCAUGCUAAAUGUUAUGUGCUAUGUGUUUACGAACGUUUGGCAUGUCUACUAGCUUUCUGUAGUGUAGAUGAAUGGAAUGGAUGAAUGUACGUUUCCACUAGUCCAACGCUAGUCGGAAUUCAAAUAGAAUGGGCUAGUCCAACGCUAGACCCUUAGGGAUUUCCCCUCGUUAGUACAUGUUUGUAUGUUCAUUACAUGUCAUGCAUUCUUUUUAGUUUUGUCAUUUUUUGCAUGCCCCCGAUUCCCUUUCCCUUCAUUUUAGGCCUUUGCAUUUCAUGCUAGUUUUAUAGGGUCCAUUUGCCUGAGAAACCCCCUUGGGUAAGGGAAACGAGCGAGUGUGGCUUCAAAAUAGCCUUAGCACGCUAGUUUUUCCUUCUAAUCAAAGGGAAAAUUAAAAUCACAAAAACUAGAGUCAUUCCCGUACCCGACCUGAUGCAUUCCUCUAAGUUCAUGCAUUUUCAUAUCAUUUUCUCACUAUUUUCCUCACUAAUUAUAUAUUUUAAAUCCACAUGUCAUAUUCACACACUUAUUCACUUUCUUUACUUUUCACUUCACACAUUGCACCUAUUUUACUUAUAUAUUUACUAUUUUCAUUCACUUGCACACGAGCAUUUAUAUUUUUAUUCAUUUGCACACAAACACUUUCAAAUUGCACACAUGCACUUUUUCUACACUUUGCCACACUUACACUCUCAUUUGAGUCCUCAUUUGCAUCAUUCAUGAUUUUCUAUGAGGACUUUCCUUAUUGGCCGUCACGACUCGUGUGAAUGGGACCAAAAGCCUCAUAAGAGACAUUUCUUAGAUUUAGGAUUACAUUUCUCAUUCAUUAGUCAAAUCCAAUUUGCAAUACAUACUUUGGGUAGAAAAUAUAGGAAAAUAAGGGUUAAAUCACGCAACUAGCCUUGGUUAGGUCGAAGGGGUGCCUUGGAUUUUUAUCCUUGCCUUCCCCUUCGUCAAAUGUGACUCCCGAACCUUUUUCUUUGUUUUACGUGGACUAGGAGUCGUUUAAAAAGGGUUUUUCUUACUUUUUUCUUUAAAAAUUUCAUUUUUUUGGGUGACUUGGUACACCCUAACUCUAUACCAAGUGGCGACUCCAUUUUUCAUAUAAAAACCCUUUUUGAACUAUUUUUCUUGGGUCAAAUCGUCGCAUUUUCAAAAGUCCCAUUUAGACCCAUUUUUGUUUUUAUCAACAAAAUUCAUUUUUCCCAAAUCAAUAAAUUCAACAAAAAACAAUUAUUUUAUUUUUCCAAAAAAGUGGGGCGCGACAUAUAAGUUCAUCUUAAAGUAUAGAGAUAUGAAAUAAUCACUUACUUGAUAACCAGGAUAACUUCAAAUUCAUCUCUCGGUCCUUGAAUCUUCUCCUAAACCAAACAAAUUCAAUUUGUAAGAUACCUUUGGUAAACCUAAGAUGUGAUUCAGUGCAAGAUUAGCUAAUCAAAUAACCAACUCCACAUACGGCAGCCUACUUAGAUUUUCAGCACCGAUAAUGCUCAGUUGAACUACCAUAACUUAAGUUAUAUAUCUUUUUUAAAAAAGUUACAAAAAUUCGCGCUAUUAGAAACUAAACUUGAAGUGCUAAAAAUCUUUUUAAAAAAAAAACACUCGGAAAUAGUCACAAGUCAAUAUAGUUUUGAAUCCUAAGCUGUGCAAGUCGGAUUUUUAGCCAACUUUGCAAAUUUUUUGGCAUCAAUAGGCAGCAAACUAGAGAUUGAAUUUUAUACCGUUGAAAAGAUCAACAAAUAUAGCUUCCAACGCAAUUGAUGACACUGAAUUUUUGACAUUCCUGCACCUAGGUAUGAUCGAUUUCUCACAACUGCGCAAGGGUGCCUAUUAGUUACAAAAUUGAUUAAACUCAACUCUUCUUAGCUACAAUUUGUCCAGAAUACCUUCACUUUGCAUCCCAAAUCUUUGGCUAUAGAUUCAACAGCAAGAGAUAUAAGAAACACACAAAACCUUCUUCUUAAUCUUACAAAUUAAACUCAUGAAAUUUUAAAUUACGAAUUUCUUACCUAAAAUCACCUUAAGGAGCUUGAAUUUGAUGAUUCCCUUCUGUGCUCUAAGUCUCUCCUAAAGGUCUCUGUUUCUAGUUGUUCAACUAUGACGGUAGAAGUAACAAUAGCAGCAAGCAACCAGUGGUUAGAUAUACAUGGACUUUUUGCACUUUGAGCCUUCAAUUAUUCUUAAAAUUUCUAACCACACCCUAAGUAAUUUAAAUUUUAAAUUACUUAGGUAUUGGGGACUUAGGUAUUACACAAGCAAAACAAGAACAAAUUAUUUUAAACAUAGACAAAAAACUAUUAUUAAUAAAUUAAUGUCAGUUAUAACUAAAUUCACAAAUGUGCUAAGAUUUGUGGUGCAUUUGAUAAAACUGAAGCUUGAAAACUGAGGUCUGAGAUCCAAAAUCUGAAGUUUAAAUCCAUUAAAUUAUUGAAUUAUUAAGUACUAAAUCUAAUACAUUUGAGUGUAUAUCACAUUAAGUGAUAAGUGAAUAGCGUAUAACUUAUUUUUAGAAGCAAAUUUUGCUUAGAAAAUUCAAUACCACUUAAUUAAUUCAGAUGUUCAAUAUUUUGUUAUCAAACGCAUAUGAACAUAUUAAGAUCUGAAUUCAUUAAGUUUAAGUGUUGAAUUGGAUUAUCAAAUAAGACUUUGGUGAUGUAGGAAGAUGAUAUACAAAGAUGAACUUGACAUUCUUUUUUUUUUUUUCAAAUUUUUCCAGAGGGAUGAGUUUUAAAAAAUGGAGAGAAAAGCAAGAUUUAAAACCAGGACAUUCUUUAAUUAUUAUGGUUUUGAGAAAGAAUAGGCACAAAACCAACAAGACUUGGUUGUGAGAGUCAUUGUGCAAAUUGGAGAAGUUAAACAAUGAACUCUUCAAAAAGAAAACAUUUUCAAGAAGUGGCAGCCUAUACUUUUGUGAAAAAAUUUCAUAAGAGAAGCUUGCUACAUGCUCACUUUUGCUUAAUCUUGAAGCCUUAGUAUAAAAUAUUCAAACGAAUAUGAUAAAAUAUAUAAGCAAUGUUCUAGAUAAAGACCUUGUUGUUACUGGAUUUCAAAACCUGAUUUUAGAUUUUGAUUUUGAUUUUGAUUUGGCAAAGCUAAUUUUUUUAUUCUCAACUAUAAAAAUGAAUAAAAAAAAAACCAAAAAAAAAUCUCCAAACCUCUCUCUUUCUCUUUUCUAUUGUUUUGACUUUUGGUUUGUGUAUUCCUUCAAACAAGCACCUUUGAUAAAAUUGAAAUCUGAAAUCUAAAUCUAUUAAUUUAUUGAAUUGUUAAGUAUUAAAUCAAAUGCAUUUAAGUGUAUAUUAUAUUUAGUAAUAAGUGAAUAGCUUAUCACUUAUUUUUGAACGCAAAUUUUGCCUAGAAAAUUCAAUGUCACUUAAUUAAUUUAAAUGUCCAAUUUUUUAUUAUCAAACACAUUUGAACAUAUUAAGAUCUAAAUCCAUUAAAUUUAAGUGCUGAAUUGAGUUAUCAAACAGGGCCUAAGACAUGUUUUUUAUCAUCAAAUCCAAUCAUGAGCCAAUCCAAUUUUUCAAAUCCACAAAAUUUAUUCAAAUUUCAGAAGAACUAAAAAAUAAAUUAAGAAAGUUAAAAGAACACAGGAAAUAGAUGUCACAUUCUCACGUGUUGAAUUAAGACCUACCACUACUAAGUUGCAGCCCUGAUGACUUUUGAGUUUUGAUGUUAUUUUCUUUUUCUGUGUCUAAUUGUAUUGGGAUCAGGUGUUCGACAAAAGAAUCUCUGUAUUUCGGAUGGAAAGUGAAAAUUCCAUCUCCCUUACUCAUCUUUUUUUUUUUUUUUUUAUUAUUUUAUAAAAAUUUCGGCAGAGUUUCCCCUUAAAAAAGGACGAAACUCCCUGCCAUCAAACCACAAUUUGACAAUAAAUUUACAAGCUAGUGAAAGUUUAAGCAUUUAAAAACUGAAAUUAAGAUUAAAUCUUCAUUUUUCCAUAUCAGGAUGUCUUCCAGUGAAUCUGAAGGAUGAUCUUUGAAGAUUUUAGCAGUCAAUCUUCCUCCCUUGAUGUCCUUCUAACCGCCAUUUUCACCUUCAUUGGCCUUUUCUGCUUCUUAUUCCAAUUCAUGCCAGACACCGUGUACGAAACGUAGGAAAUCCUAAUCGAUCUAAUCUAAUAGCCCCCCUAACCAAUUGCGGCAAUUCUGAGAAUGUAUUAAACACAUGACCUGCACUAGAAUCAGCACCAAAAUUUGCCAAAUGAUCUGCAGGUGCGUUUGCUUCCCUGUAGCAGUGUGUGAUCGAUGUGAAAUAUUGCUUGAACAUCAUCAACUCAUCCAGAUCUCUCUGUAAACGCCAAGGACAAGCACUAGUCCCUUGAACAAUGUGACAAGCACUAAUCUCCCUUACUCAUCUGAUUCCUCAGUUAACUUCUUUUUCUUUUUCUUUUUUUUUUUUGGGUUUUCUACUUCCCUUUUCCUUUUCUUCUAUCUUUGGGCUACUAAAUUUAUUUAGGCGUGGCUGUGGUGGUCUUUGGAGGAGUUUGGGGAGGCUUCAUGGUGGUUGUCGGACAGUUGUUUGGUGGUGAAGUUGAAAAAGAUGGUGGAAGAAUUUUCUUUUUUUCGAUUAAUUAGUUCACAUCAGUACUUGAGCGUAUUAUUUUUUUCUACUUUUUUUUAAUUUAGUUAAUGGAGAGGUGAUCAAAUUGUGGAAAUAUCGCGAAACUAUUUAUACAAUAAUAAAAGGAGAGAGAUGACGGUUAGGUUAAACAUUUUGUAUCAUUUUGUAUCAUUUUUAAUUUUUCCCUUAAAAAAUUAAUUUUUAUCCUACUGCCUAGUCACAUUUGCUAAUAUAUCUUUCAUAAUUCCCUUAAAUAUUGCAACUAUCAAAUUAACUGUAAUUGUAUUAGAGAAAAAAAACUAAUAAAUUGCAAUUAUUUUCAUGAAGAAUUUAUAUAAAAUUUAAUUUUGUAAAAACAAAAUUAAUAUAUUCAUAAAAGUUAAUAAUUAUUUCUAAACUGCACACACAUUGGGUCUGCCUCCAACACUAGUUUUGCUAUAUAUACAGUUUGAGCAGGGUUUGGUGUAAAAAAAAGUGCCAUUAUUUGUUUUGUCAAAUAUACCCUUCCAAUAUUUACUAUUAUCUACCCACAUCUAAAUCUGUUGAACUUCCCACCCCUACAUAACUACCAGUAUAAUAAACACACACAAACAUAGAUUCAUAUCACCCUUUUUAGCCUAAAAAGACUUUCAAUGAAGUAAUAACUACUAACAAUUUCCUAUCCAAAAAAAAUGAAAAAAAGAUGAAAAACACAAAUUUUCCAUCCAUAUUUCUAAAACAAAACCUCCAACAACUAUUAAAAAUUUUAAUAUAUUUUAAAAAAAAUUUCCUUUUAAAAUUUUCUGUCAUUUCAUAGAUUUCCUAUACCCUUCAUGUUUUAAACUUUUUAUGACCCACUUGUCCUUCUUUCUCUCAUCCACUUUCUUUUCUUUCUCUCAAUGAUAUCUCUACAAUAAUAAAGCGGGAACAGGUAAUUUGAUGUAAUCAGUUAUCACUUUUAGAAUUCCUCUUUACCCUUCAAAUAUCUUCUCACCAACUAACAUCAUACAACCAAUGAAAUACAUGUUUAUUACUUAAACAUAACUGCUUAUAGAUAAUUGCUUGAUUUAAUUUUUGUUUGAUUUUUAAGAUUUUGUUUGUAUUAACUUUUUUAAUUUACUACUACUAGAUUUUAUUGUCAAAUAAUGAAUCUAUAUUCAUUAGUUUAACAGAAGAUUUUUUUAAUCACUAGCAUACACAUCGAGUGUGUCAAUCACUAGUCUUACUAUAUAUAAAGUGUUGGUGAAAACAAAUUGUGUCAUUUAAUGUAUUGCCUAAUCUAUCUUAUUUCUAAAGAGAAUUACAUCAUUUUAACUACCCACCUCCCAACAAUUACUCCAUGCGUGUUGAAUUAACCACCACUUUCCUAACAAAAAACUACUCUUUUUUUAAAAUGGGUAUAAUAGUUUAACUAUUAUUUUUCAACAAAAAAUAAUACUAAUUGCUUUUGAUAUCUUUUUAUUAGUAACACACACAUUGGAUUUGCCUUAACCACUAGUAUAUAAAGGGAGAGUAAGGGGUUUGGAGUAAAUAUUUAGGGAUAAUUGCAUAAACCUCCCCUGAGGUUUCUGACAUUUGCACUGACCUCCCUUGUGGUUUGAAAAAUUACACUGACCUCCCCUGAGGUUACUAAUCCUUUGCAAAUUUAGUCCAAACGAUUAAAAUAUUAUUUUAGGGAGUGAAAUUAGAAUUUUGUACCAGAUUUGCCCUUUGUGCUACAUGUCCAAUGAAUGACAAAGUACUAUAAAUCAAUUAACAAUUAAUAAACUUUAAGGAGUAUAAUUUAUGAGUAAACACGCAUUACUCAUUUAAAAUACCGACUCUUUACGGGUAUUUUACUUUUAAACAUUUAAUUUGUGAUAAAUAUAUCAAUAUUUGUAAGUAAAAUUCAAAAAGUAUUACAGUAAUAUUCUUGCAAAAAGGAAAUCGGUAGGUUAUUUAUUUAAUAUAAAUUAAAUAUUUUUUUUAAAAAAAGAAAUGACCCAUAAAGUAUUAAUUUUUUAUGGUUUUCAUCCAUUACAUGAGUAAAGUAUUCGCUCUUUAUGUGCAUUUUAUUCAUUUAAUUUAUGUUAAAUAUAUAAAUGUUUGUAACUAAAAUUGAAAAAGUGUUAUAUUAAUAUUUUUACAGAAGAGAGAUUGGUAGGUUUUGUAUUUAACAAAAAUUAAAUAUUUGAAAGUAAAUACAAAUCUGAAUUUGAGCGUAAAUAUUUGUAUUAAAAUUAAAUAUUUGAAAGUAAAUAUACCGUAAAGAACCGGUAUUUUAAAUAGUUACCGGUUCUUUAUGGGCAAACAAGCAUUACUUAUUUAAAGUACCGGCUUUUUACGGGUAUUUUACUUUCAAACAUUUAAUUUAUGAUAAAUAUAUCAAUGUUUGUAAGUAAAAUUCAAAAAGUGUUACAGUAAUAUUCUUGCAAAAAGGAAAUCGGUAGGUUAUUUAUUUAAUAUAAAUUAAAUAUUUAAAAAAGAAAUGGCCCAUAAAGUAUUAAUUCUUUAUGACUUUCAUCUAUUACAUGAGUAAAUUAUUGGCUCUUUAUGGGCAUUUUAUUCUGAAUCAUUUAAUUUAUGUUAAAUACAUAAAUAUUUGUAACUAAAAUUGAAAAAGUGUUAUAUUAAUAUUUUUACGGAAGAGAGAUUUGUAGUUUUUGUAUUUAACAAAAAUUAAAUAUUUGAAAGUAAAUAUAAAUCUGUAUUUGAGCGUAAAUAUUUGUAUUAAAUUAAAUGUUUGAAAGUAAAAUACCCAUAAAGAGCCGGUACUUUAAAUAGGUAAUGUGUAUUUGCCUAUAAACUAUACUCCUUAAAGUUUAUUAAUUGUUAAUUGAUUUGUAGUACUUUGUCAUUCAUUGGAUAUGUAGUACAAAGGACAAAUUUGGUAAAAAAAAUUCUAAUUUCACUCCCUAAAACAAUAUUUUAAUCGUUUGGACUGAAUUUGCAAAGGAUUAGUAACCUCAGGGGAGGUCAGUGUAAUUUUUCAAACCACAGGGGAGGUCAGUGCACAUGUCAGAAACCUCAGGGGAGGUUUCUGCAAUUAUCCCAAAUAUUUAUUGUCACUUUACGAACUUCCUUUUUUGCCCUUAUAAAAAUUAUUCUUACUUUAAAUACCUACACAUAUGUUGUCAAGAUAACUCCUCAUGACUAAUUUUUAUUUUUAACUAUUUAAAUAUAUGUUUUCAACAUAACUAACCCUAAACAUUACAACUACCAAUAUAGGAUUAUUGUAUGAAAAAAAUUUGAAAGAUUAAAGUUUCUUUUAGUAAUAAAAAUUUUAUAUAAAUAUAUGGCCAUAAAUAUUGUGUAUUUUUUGAUUGUACACGCAUUGAAUGUACAUAAAGCAUUGGUAUACAUAUAGCAAGAGCGAGGAGUUGGUGUAAACUUUUUGUAUGACUUUAUGUUCUUCUUAAAUUGCCCUUGAUAACUAUACACUUUCAACUUCCAAUAUAUCCUUCUUCCGACUAAUAUGUAUAUCUUAUUAUUUUAUUUCUCAAUUUAUUUAGUAAAUAUUAAUUUUUAUCAGCAACUAUCAAUCGCGAUUAUGAAUUACUACUAAAAUUAAUAAAUUAUUUGUUUAUAUAUAUUUUAUUUUAGUGAAUUUUCUAUAUAUUUACUAUUACAACAUAAAAUUAAUUCUCUUGAAAAUGAUUUCAAAUGUAGUCAAAAAAUUUGACACAAAUUUCUUUUAUUAGUUGCAUGCACAUUCGUGUGUAUCUUGAACAUUGGUUGGCAAUAUGGUUAAUUGUACUAAAUACGCUCAAAUUGGAAAUAUUGGGGACCGGAUAUUUAAAAAAGAAAAAAAACUUAAGGAUGACAAGCUCACAUUUGGCGAAUCAAAAGCGCACAUGUGAUGUGACCAACUUUCAAGACCAAAACUGCAUUUUUCCGUGAUAGAAAUUGUUGAAAAAAAAAACACUAAGAUGACUUAUUCCCUAAAAGAGUCCAUCUAAAAAAAAAAAAACUCCAAAAUCACGACAUUCUUAGAUACAAACAUGAAAAUCCUUACAAUCAAUAACUUGGGUUAUUCAUUAAUUUGUUUCUAUGUUAUACAUUGUUUAGUAUAGGAUUUUCCUUCCCGAGUUAAAAACUCCUUUUUGCGUGUAAACUAAAAACAAAAUGGGCGAAAACUGAUAUCCAAUGUACCAAAUCACUAAUUUUCAACGUGGAAAGGGAAAUGGAGGGCCUGGGCUUUGUUAAUUUUUUAGUAAAGGGCUAAUGAAAAGGUAAUUAGUCCGUGUGCAGGAGAUACAGCCAAAGCCAAUCAUAUUGCUAACCAAAAAACAAAGCAAGACAGAAAGGUUGAAAAAUAACAAGUACUGAUACAGUGCUAAUGAUGCAGAUAAGAGAUUGAAUUCCCAAUCUCAACUACCACAAAAUUGAAUAAUUCCCAACAUGUGGGCGAACCUUUGCAUUUUAAAGUCUUCCACCAACAGAACAAAGACAAAAUAACAGUCUUGCAAAUUGCAACGAGAAAGUGAGAAACGAAGAAAGAGCCUCGCCUACAAUACUUGACUAUUUUCAAAUAAUGAGAAAGUUAACCUCGAACAAAAUUCGUUCAAGAUCCAAAUUUGAUCUCAGAGUGAAUAGAUUAGAAGACACAAUAAUGGACAUAUCCUCCAGUAGUAGCACUAGUUGCUUUGAUUCCUCUCUAGAUUAUCUGGGCUGGUUGGACAAGGCCUUCCAAUAUAAGUUCCAUUCUGAUCUAAAGAUUUGGGACCUGAAGAUCGGGUUGACAUAUUACAAAGCUUUGACCUGUAUCUGAGAAACUCUAGGAGGAGGAGGAACCAUGAGACCUGUUCGGAACAAGAUGUGGAGGAGAAGGAUGUUACUUCUUUCAGAAUUCAGAACCUGAUUAUCAGAAGAAUGCAAGAUCUUGAAUUUGCCUGCAGCAAAUUAUUUAUUCAUGCUAGUUUACCAGGUAUACUUAAGAUGAAAGGAGAGCUCACCAUAUUCCGGAAAGAAAUCAAGUUGUUUUUCAAGACAGAUAUCAACGAAUCGUGUAUCAACUUUCUGUUGGACUAUUAUUGGCUGAGGGAUCCAGGACUAGUUAUUGAUUUCAUUGAUUUGGUUUCAAAGAUUCUGAUGGAACUUCUCCUCAAAAGUCAGAUAUCCCAUUUCAAGACCCUUGAAGAGAAGCUAAUGUUCUUGAAUAGUUUCAUUCGCUUUGCCCUGCUACACGGUGUCGACGGUCAGCAAUUGAUAGAUCUCUUGGUUCACGUUGAAGUGGUGGCUAUCAAUGCAUUACGCCUGAUUUGUACACGCUGGUUUGACAGAGAUGAUGAAGAAGUAUGCGAUGAAAUGGGACUUCAAAUUUCUCGACUACUACAUGAGAAGAUUAAUCCCACUCCCAGAGAUGAUGAAGAAGUAUACAAUAAAAUCGGACUUCAAAUUUCUCAACUAAUACGUGAGAAGAUUAAUCCCAGUGAUCCCCAAGUCCGAGAAACUUAUAUCCAUGUCCUGACUGCUUCAAAGUUAUCAAGAUCAUCAGACACUUCAGCUCUAGAGAAAAAUAAGCAUCUAGUAGCUGACUUUAUGGAUUAUCUCAUUCACAAUUUUAUGGAGCUACUAGAAUCUUGUACCAGUAUUUUGGUUCCGAUUAUGAAUCAAAUGCUAAAACUCCAUGAUGGGCUGAGAUUCCUAACAAUCCUUUUCAGGCAUCAGGAGAAGUUCAAAGAGCUACCCCAUGGAAUGAAGACUCUUAUUGGAGUUGUAGUCUGUGAUGCAGCAAUUGUAAUUUUCUCCCUUUCUGUGAGUCAAAUCGAAGAAGGCUUGGCCAAGGAAACCGAUCUUGCUCUUUUUCAUUUGGUCCAAGUGCUCAAGUUUAUUAAGGCAGAAGUAAUCGAUCUGAUAACAUCAAUAUCAGGAUUUGAUUUUCCUAGGACCAAUGAGUUGGGCUCUAUGGAUAUUCUGCUUGAAAAUCUGAAGGAACUACAGAGUUGUAAUGAGGCCGAUGAUUCAAUUGCAUUCCCAUAUGAUCAAAUCCACAGAGUCUUAGAAGAUCUCGUAUUCUUAAGAUCUUUCCUUGGAAAGAUAGUAGACCAGUGCAAUCAGAACAAAAAACUCCAAGCUUUUUGGCGUCGUGUUAUGGAGGUUGCAUAUAAAGCAGAGUUAGUGAUCGACUCGACACCUUUUGGUGAUGAACGUGAAUAUUGUUUCGAUGUUGUUGCUAGAGAUAUCAAUCUUAUGAAGAUUGAGGCCCAAGAGAUCUAUGGUAGCAUGAGCGAUGUUGGUGAAACCAAGAGAGUUACCAAGACUUUCACUCCCAUGCCAUCACAAGUCACUGCAGCCACGUACAAUGAAGAUCUGGUGCUCCUCGACAAUGAGGUGACAACUAUCACUCAUAGACUUACAGGAGGAUCAAGGCAGUUGGAUGUUGUUCCCAUCGUGGGUGUGCCUGGGCUCGGUAAGACCACACUAGCCAAUAUAGUUUAUAGUUCUCCUUCGGUAAUGUUGCACUUCCAAAUUCGUGCUUGGUGCACUGUGUCUCAAGUAUAUAGCCGGCACAACUUGUUAGUUCAGAUAUUGGGUAGUAUUGAUUCUAGGAGCCCAGAACAAUAUCUAAAGGUGGAUGAGGAUGAUUUGGCUGUAAAGCUAAAACAAUUUUUGCUCAGAAAUAGGUAUCUCCUAGUUUUGGAUGAUCUAUGGGACAUUGAGGCAUGGAAUUUGUUGGAAAGAUCAUUGCCUGAUGAUGCCAAUGAAAGCAGGAUUCUUGUCACGAGUAGAUUGCUGAAUUUGCAAUUCAAACCUGGUAGCAAGGCUCACUAUCUCCGGCACCUUACUGAUGAAGAGAGUUGGCAAUUGCUGCAGAAAAAGCUAUUUGGCAACGAAGGUUGUCCCACAAAACUACAUGGAGUUGGAUCUCAAAUAGUAAAAUCUUGUAGGGGCUUACCUCUUACAGUUGUCCUUGCUGCUGGAAUUUUUGCUACUACUGCACAAAAUUUCUGGGAAGAAGUUGCAAAAAGUCUAAGGUCCAGUAUUGUCCUUGACGAAGAAUAUUGCAUGAAGACACUUGAACUAAGUUAUAUUCAUCUACCAGAUGAUUUGAAGCCAUGCCUUCUUUAUUUUGGUGUAUUUCAAGAAGACGAAAAUGUUCCUGUCCGAAGGUUGUUAUGGCUUUGGAUCUCCGAAGGAUUUGUGCGAAAGAAAACUGGAAAGAGCAUAGAGGAUGUGGCAGAUGACUACUUGAAGGCACUGGUUGAUAGAAGUUUAGUCAUGGUUACCAAACAAAGAACUACGAGUGGUGCCAAAGCUUGCCCACUUCAUGAUUUGGUACAUGAGUUUUGUGUAGAAAAAGCCAAAGAGGAAAACUUUCUACACAUUAUUCAUCGUGGGAAAGAUCUUUUUAGUCUUACUGGCCUAAGCAACCCCCCGAGUUUGUGAUCGAAAUACCAGGAAAUUGAAGAUUCAGCACUCAAUGCUAUUUUUUCCCAAUUUACGCAGUUUGUUGUCGUUUAAAGAGGAUGAGUUGGGAUUUUGGUUGCCUAAACUUCUUAGAGUGUUGGAUUUGAGGAACUUGGUGUUUAAUGCAUAUUUUCCGAUGGAAGUAGUAUUGCUUGUUCACUUGAGAUACUUAGCUCUUCAUAUUCGAGGAAUAAAUUCCAUUUCCAACCCAAUAAAUUCCAUUUCCAUCCCAUUUGCAAUAUCCAACCUCUCAAGGUUACAAACUUUUCUGGUAAGAGGAGACUCAAUAUUCUAUUAUGUGUUACCAAAAACUAUCUGGAACAUUAAGACAUUGAGGCAUCUAUGUAUCACAGGUUUCAAUUAUGGUUUUGUUUUUCCUGUUGACGAUCUUGAAAUAUCCCCAUGUUUAGAUCAUUUAAACACUUUAAAGCUUGCCAUUGAUCCCUCCUCUCAAAGCUUGCAAAAGCUGCUGACAUAUUUACCAAGCAUCCGCAGGCUGAAAUGUAAGAGAUCGGAGAAAUCAAGUGAAGAAUUUACCAGAAUUGACGACAAGAUUCUGGUGUUCGACUGUUUGAGUCAACUAGAAUCACUUAAUCUAUCUUUUUUUGACGGAUACGGAUUUAAAUUCCCAUUGAAUUUGAAGAAGUUGACUCUUUCAUAUAAUCAUCAGCCAUGGAGUGAAAUCUCAACAAUUGGAAAGUUGCCCAAUCUUCAAGUGCUUAAAUUACGCCAUGGCUCCUUUGUUGGGAUUGAAGAAUGGGAAAUGAAAGAAGGAGAGUUCCCUAACCUCCGAGUCUUGAAAUUGAUAGGCGUGGCCUUGCGCAGCUGGACUGCAUCUUCUGAUAGUUUUCUCCAUCUUGAGAAAUUGGUUGUGCAUAAUUGUCCGGGGCUGAAAGAUGUGCCUUCUUGUUUAGGAGAAUGUCUGACUCUUGAAAUGAUUGAGGUGAAAUGGUGAUGAGUCUGUUGUAAGAUCAGUGAAGCAAAUUCAACAAGAGCAGAUGGAUAUGGGAAAUGAUGUUCUAGAGAUCAUAAUUGAAUAUUGUGGUCAUGCAUGAAGUUCCUCAGAAGGAGGAGCAGAAGAAGUCUCUCAGAAACACAGCCAAUUCCCUCGUAAGGAGUCUAAUUCAUGUUUCUUGAAAGCAAUUUCUGGAGCUUCCCCAUUCUUUUUUAAUCACUCAUUAAUCAGUCCAACAAUAUUAUCGUGCACACUCUAUUUAAUGCAGCUACAGAUUGAUUUGCUGCUUAUAACUAGCUGAGUAUGCAAGCUGCAUUUUUCUCUUCCGUCUUUGUAUUUCAGUCAGGGUAGUACAGAAAGUUUUAACUUGCUUCUGUUUUUCCUCAACAAGAACCAUACACAAUUGAUUGAUAUGUUAAAACAUACAAUAGUUUCUUUCUUUUUUCUUGCAACAAAUAUUAGGAGGAGAUAAAUCAAAAUAAAAAUAAAAAUUUGGUUAUGUUACUUUUCAAUAGAGAAAGGGCAUAGGAAAGAAUGGUAAAAAUUGCCUCAAAUAGUUGUCUUGUACAAUUUUUUAUUAUUGUUAUAUGCAGCCCAUUUUCAUUGGCUAGAUCUAGAAAUAGCUUUAGAUAUCAAGCCAAAGGAAAAAAAAAAAAAGUUUCUGAAAACUUGUGCAACAGUAAUCUUUAUAAGGGUUUUUCUUUCUUCUUUUCAGGGUUAAUUCCACUUUGUCCCCCCAAACUUUGGACGAUUACCCACUUAACUCUCUAAACUUUAAAAUGAGACACUUAAGUUCCUAAACUUAUAAAUACCUCCCACUUAAGGAAAAUUGUUAACAAAAAGUAUUGCAUCUCACCUCCAUAAUAGUCAGUAUAUGAUUUACUAUGAAUGUCAAUAGACUCUAAAAUGGGAGAGAAAAUCGUCUCUGAGCUUGUACAGGUUCCUGGUGCAGACUCCUGCAGUUUAAAAAAGCAUUACAAUUAGUUAUGCUGUUACAUGCUAAAUAACAAACCUACUCUGGUAAACAUUGUAUGAAAGUGAAAGUGAAUCAGAAACUGCUAUCAUAUUCAGUAUGAUUAGCUUUGUACGUGCAAAUAAAACAGGCAUCUCAAAUGAUUCGAUCCAUAAUCACAACGGGAAAGAUAUAUCCUAGGGAAUAACACAAAAUACUAUAACUCAAGCUGACAUUCUUCACUAAAACACAAAUACAACUAUGGAGUAUGUGAUCAAUGAAAAGAAAAAUAUUCUGCAAAAGAAUGAAAACGGUAAAUAUUUCAAAAAAUCACAAAAUCUUUACACUAACUGAGAGAAAAUCUAGCAAUACUACAAGAAUGCAGCAACUAGGAAAUAGCACAUCAAUUCUCCCCAUUGAAACUUCCUACAGCUAGUGACUCUGCAGGAUGUCCUACUAGAAGCCUAGAACUUGGGCACACGCACACACACAAGACAUCUGAUCUAUCGCAACUGCAGUAUCUAAAAAAUAUCACAUUGCAAAAAUCUAUAUUUGAACUUUUAAAAUAGUCCAAAUUGAAGUAACCAUUUGUAACAUAAUAAGCUUCUCAAGUUAUAAUAGCUUGCAACUUUGAGUUAACUAUUCAGAUCUUCCACAAUUGCUCUAUGUUUACGUGCUUGGUAUUGGAAGAUUCAAAGAUACCUCGAUACAUAUAAUCAUAGUUUACCAAAAAUUUCAAAUUCCGGAGAAAUUACAUAAGUUAUGAUUACAACCUGGCGAUUAGAUACUUCUGAUGUCGGAAAAAUAGGUGAGGUCCUCGCCUACUAGCUCUAGCAGAAGAAUGGGACGAUCCUUGGACUGUUUUCAGGCUUUGUACAGUACCCAUGAACAAUAACAUUGGAGAAAAAGGGAAGAAGAACAGGGAUUUAGGGGGGAAGAAGACAAGCCAAGUACUCCCUCAGACCCAAAUUUUUUAUGCAUUUCAAGAGUUUUUUUUUUAAAAAAACAGCGUAUAAGUAGCUGAAAAAGUUGAGCCAGGUUCUGUCUUUAUCCUUCAUAACAUCAUUGUGAUAAAUGUGUGGGGCCAAAUGAGAAUUGUUGUCUAUAUCAACCUUAUCAAGUUUUAUAUGUGCUGCACAUACUUCCUCAUUACUGAGGUUGUGUAGUUCACACGCUUAAAUUUGGUUCACAACCAAAACAACUAGAAAAAUAAGUGGUGCCUAGGACAUCUUGGUUGUCAGUUGAAAUCCCACCAAAAUCUAUCGCACCUUGAUGGUCUUGUUUUGUUGACUGCGUUGUUCAUGAGUUAAUUUCUCAGCACAAAUUAGACCUAAAUUGAUGGCUGAGUCAUACUAAUUCCCAAUGAGUAGGUGAAGGACAGGAAGUGAAAGUAGUUGUGUAGCUAUUUGCCAUAUUUAGAAAGUGACAUAAAUUUUGAGACAGUCCAAAAAGGAAAGCAUGACGCCCAUCAAUGGGACGGAGGGAGCACAAAACAAAAAACUCAAUUCCUAUUCAUCAAUCUCACCCUACCUAGGAUCACAUAGGAAUAUUAAAAUUUAUAAACUUCAAACUUUCCUAAACUUAGUAUUUCCAUCUUCUAAUAUGGAAAUUAACAAGUUGCAAAGCCUUUUAGGAACUUUUCUGUGACAAUGACUUACCUAAUCUAAUAAAUAACUAAAAAAAACUCAGCAACACACGUGUUGGAAAAUUCCUGCAACAAGUAAAAGACCAAAACACCCUUGAGACCCAAUCUUUCAAAAACUACUAAACUCAGAAAAUAAAACUAUAAUCAACAUAAACAAAGACUCUCGAUUAACAUAUUAUUGCUCCUAAUUACGCUCCUUAUCUACAUGGGAUGCCUAGUUAAAGCUUGAGGAAAAUCACACAAAUCUCUAGCUCUGUAUUUCCCUGAGCUCUUGGUUGACUGCAAAAACUUCCCAAUUAGUGAACUAACAAGAAUGGGAACAAAGUUUAAGACAAAUAAACUCAAGAAAUACAAGUAAAUGACAAAAUCUGAAUGCAGAACAAGGAAAAAGAGAGAGAGAGCUCUUUUUCUAAUGAUGUAAACUUGAAAUUCGUUAUCAGACAAUGCACCAUAUUUUACAUUAAUUUAGAUGACAAACCACUUGGUAUCAUGCCUUGAAGAAGGCUACUAUAAAGCUAAGUUAGGACAAAGAAGUGUGAUUUGUACAGAGCUAACUUAGGACAAAGACGUGCAGUGAGUUUAGAGCUAAGUUAAGACAAAGAUGUCCAACAAUUAUUUUACAUGACUUAAGGAAUUCUUGUCUCAUAUACAAAAGCAUCAAGUACAUUGCUUUGAAAAAGGAUAAUGACCAAGACCACAAAACGAACUGGAUAAUAAGCUGCAAACUGCCACAAACAAAAAAACAAUAAACAAACAGCUAAAUUGGGGGGGAAAAAGAUUUUUUUUACCAUUCUACUGACAUCUGUAGAAUCAAUGAAAGGCAUAUACUGCUUUUGAAGGAGUUCUCCAUUGAAUGAUUCCCCAUGGUCAGCAUCGCUUGCUUCGCUAUCAUGAGAACGUUUUUCGUCACACGAACAAACUACAAGGACAAUGAAAGAAAUCAUAUCCUGAGGACACUUUAACCUUUACACAAGACAAAGAAAAAGGGGCUACUUGAAAUUGAAGUAGUUAAUACACCAUAUCAAUGAGACAACCAGGCCUGUAGCACUAUAGCAGUUUAUAGAUAUUAAUAAUCAAGAAACAGAGGUUUCAAGCAGUGAAUCUCCAGAACCUCAUAAUAAAAUUGUAUUUCAAAAAAAACCUCAAAAAACUUCAAUAAUAAAAAAUUAUGGAUGCAAAUGUCUGAUUAACUUGCACCCAGCCUCUAAAUCUGAAUUUAUACUAUGCUCACUCUUACACAAACUAAAACUUCAAAUUUAAAUUCACAGAAUAAUUACCUCAAUCUUUCCCUUGGAAUGAUGCAUCUUGUUGCACAGUAUAUGUAUAGUCUCAUCCAGUUACAGCAGAAAAAAUAAAUAAAAAGUACCACAACAAAAGAAUCCUAUUAUCGCAAACAAUAACUAAACUAGUUACAUCCUUUGUCAUAGACUCUAAAGCCUUCUAACCAACAAAUACUUAAAGUUCUUCUCAAAAGAACAAUAUGUUUAAUCAUAAUUGACUUGAUCCUUAUAGACCCCCAAAAGACAGUUCUUCUAGAAGAUUGAGAUCCUUUAUUGUUUACUUACCAUCGUGAGUAUGUUGAAUAAUAGUCUGAAGUUCGUCAGCAUUCUGAGCAAUUUUGGAAACAGAGAGAGAAUUCUUGGAUAUCAUGGUUGAUUUUGGGCAUAUGCGGAGACCUUUUUUUUCUUUCAAACAGCCCACAGUUGACUUGGUUUUCAUUUUGAGUGAUGGCAUUUGAUCUAUACUUCUGAUAUGCACCAAAAUCUGGAUUUAAGAACAUUCGCGGGAAAAUAAACUCCUCAAAACAGUAAGGAACAACCACUGUCACUGAAAUGCUGAGGAUGAGAAGUCCAUCCAGGAAGGCCAAAACAACUCCAGGAGC